GACGAACGCUGGCGGCGUGCUUAACACAUGCAAGUCGAACGGAAAGGCCCUGCUUUUGUGGGGUGCUCGAGUGGCGAACGGGUGAGUAACACGUGAGUAACCUGCCCUUGACUUUGGGAUAACUUCAGGAAACUGGGGCUAAUAACGGAUAGGAGCUCCUGCUGCAUGGUGGGGGUUGGAAAGUUUCGGCGGUUGGGGAUGGACUCGCGGCUUAUCAGCUUGUUGGUGGGGGAGUGGCUUACCAAGGCUUUGACGGGUAGCCGGCAUGAGAGGGUGACCGGCUACAUUGGGAUGGAGAUACGGCCCAGACUCCUACGGGAGGCAGCAGUGGGGAAUAUUGCACAAUGGGCGGAAGCCUGAUGCAGCAACGCCGCGUGCGGGAUGACGGCCUUCGGGUUGUAAACCGCUUUCGCCUGUGACGAAGCGUGAGUGACGGUAAUGGGUAAAGAAGCACCGGCUAACUACGUG
rnacentral:rRNA from 1 species